rnacentral:rRNA from 1 species
GAUAAACGCUGGCGGCGUGCUUAACACAUGCAAGUCGAACGGAGUGGUUCUCCCGAAGACCUGAAGAGCUUGCUCGGAUGGAAUUCAUUUGAAUCACUUAGUGGCGGACGGGUGAGUAACGCGUGGGUAACCUGCCUCAUACUGGGGGAUAGCAGUUGGAAACGACUGAUAAUACCGCAUAAGCGCACAGCACCGCAUGGUGCAGUGUGAAAAACUCCGGUGGUAUGAGAUGGACCCGCGUCUGAUUAGCUAGUUGGCGAGGUAACGGCCCACCAAGGCAACGAUCAGUAGCCGGCCUGAGAGGGUGUACGGCCACAUUGGGACUGAGACACGGCCCAAACUCC